rnacentral:rRNA from 1 species
AUAGACCUACGGGGGGCAGCAGUGGGGAAUAUUGCGCAAUGGGCGAAAGCCUGACGCAGCGACGCCGCGUGAGGGAUGAAGGUCUUCGGAUCGUAAACCUCUGUCCGCAGGGAAGCACGGUCACUGUGCUAAUCAGCAGUGAAUUGACGGUACCUGCAAAGGAAGCACCGGCUACCUCCGUGCCAGCAGCCGCGGUAAUACGGAGGGUGCGAUCGUUAAUCGGAAUUACUGGGCGUAAAGCGCUCGUAGGCGGUAUGUCCAGUCAAGGGUGACAUCCCCGCGCUCAACGUGGGAACUGCCUUUGA